rnacentral:rRNA from 1 species
AACAGAUGCUAAUACCGAAUAAAACUUAGUAUCGCAUGAUAUCAAGUUAAAAGGCGCUACGGCGUCACCUAGAGAUGGAUCCGCGGUGCAUUAGUUAGUUGGUGGGGUAAAGGCUUACCAAGACGAUGAUGCAUAGCCGAGUUGAGAGACUGAUCGGCCACAUUGGGACUGAGACACGGCCCAAACUCCUACGGGAGGCUGCAGUAGGGAAUCUCUCCACAAUGGGCGCAAGCCUGAUGGAGCAACGCCGCGUGUGUGAUGAAGGCUUUCGGGUCGUAAAGCACUGUUGUAUGGGAAGAAAUGCUAAAAUAGGGAAUGAUUUUAGUUUGACGGUACCAUACCAGAAAGGGACGGCUAAAUACGUGCCAGCAGCCGCGGUAAUACGUAUGUCCCGAGCGUUAUCCGGAUUUAUUGGGCGUAAAGCGAGCGCAGACGGUUGAUUAAGUCUGAUGUGAAAGCCCGGAGCUCAACUCCGGAAUGGCAUUGGAAACUGGUUAACUUGAGUGUUGUAGAGGUAAGUGGAACUCCAUGUGUAGCGGUGGAAUGCGUAGAUAUAUGGAAGAACACCAGUGGCGAAGGCGGCUUACUGGACAACAACUGACGUUGAGGCUCGAAAGUGUGGGUAGCAAACAGGAUUAGAUACCCUGGUAGUCCACACCGUAAACGAUGAAUACUAGGUGUUAGGAGGUUUCCGCCUCUUAGUGCCGAAGCUAACGCAUUAAGUAUUCCGCCUGGGGAGUACGACCGCAAGGUUGAAACUCAAAGGAAUUGACGGGGACCCGCACAAGCGGUGGAGCAUGUGGUUUAAUUCGAAGCAACGCGAAGAACCUUACCAGGUCUUGACAUCCUUUGAAGCUUUUAGAGAUAGAAGUGUUCUCUUCGGAGACAAAGUGACAGGUGGUGCAUGGUCGUCGUCAGCUCGUGUCGUGAGAUGUUGGGUUAAGUCCCGCAACGAGCGCAACCCUUAUUGUUAGUUGCCAGCAUUCAGUUGGGCACUCUAGCGAGACUGCCGGUGACAAACCGGAGGAAGGCGGGGACGACGUCAGAUCAUCAUGCCCCUUAUGACCUGGGCUACACACGUGCUACAAUGGCGUAUACAACGAGUUGCCAACCUGCGAAGGUGAGCUAAUCUCUUAAAGUACGUCUCAGUUCGGACUGCAGUCUGCAACUCGACUGCACGAAGUCGGAAUCGCUAGUAAUCGCGGAUCAGCACGCCGCGGUGAAUACGUUCCCGGGUCUUGUACACACCGCCCGUCACACCAUGGGAGUUUGUAAUGCCCAAAGCCGGUGGCCUAACCUUCGGGAGGGAGCCGUCUAAGGCAGGACAGAUGACUGGGGUGAAGUCGUNACAAGUGC